AACGAACGCUGGCGGCAGGCCUAACACAUGCAAGUCGAGCGCAUCGCAAGGUGAGCGGCGGACGGGUUAGUAACGCGUGGGAACGUGCCCUUUUCUUCGGAAUAGCUUCGGGAAACUGAAGGUAAUACCGGAUACGCCCUUAGGGGGAAAGAUUUAUCGGAGAAGGAUCGGCCCGCGUCUGAUUAGGUAGUUGGUGGGGUAGUGGCCUACCAAGCCGACGAUCAGUAGCUGGUUUGAGAGGAUGAUCAGCAACACUGGGACUGAGACACGGCCCAGACUCCUACGGGAGGCAGCAGUGGGGAAUCUUAGACAAUGGGGGCAACCCUGAUCUAGCCAUGCCGCGUGGAUGAUGAAGGCCUUAGGGUCGUAAAGUCCUUUCGCUGGGGAAGAUAAUGACGGUACCCAGUAAAGAAACCCCGGCUAACUCCGUGCCAGCCGCCGCCGUAA
rnacentral:rRNA from 1 species